GACGAACGCUGGCGGCGUGCUUAACACAUGCAAGUCGAGCGGUAAGGCCCUUUCGGGGGUACACGAGCGGCGAACGGGUGAGUAACACGUGGGUGACCUGCCCUCAGCUCUGGGAUAAGCCUGGGAAACUGGGUCUAAUACCGGAUAUGACUCCAUGACGCAUGUUGUGGGGUGGAAAGCCUUGUGCGGCUGAGGAUGGGCCCGCGGCCUAUCAGCUUGUUGGUGGGGUGANGGCCUACCAAGGCGACGACGGGUAGCCGGCCUGAGAGGGCGACCGGCCACACUGGGACUGAGACACGGCCCAGACUCCUACGGGAGGCAGCAGUGGGGAAUCUUGCGCAAUGGGCGAAAGCCUGACGCAGCGACGCCGCGUGAGGAUGACGCC
rnacentral:rRNA from 1 species